rnacentral:rRNA from 1 species
GAUGAACGCUGGCGGCGUGCCUAAUACAUGCAAGUCGAGCGAACAGACGAGGAGCUUGCUCCUCUGACGUUAGCGGCGGACGGGUGAGUAACACGUGGAUAACCUACCUAUAAGACUGGGAUAACUUCGGGAAACCGGAGCUAAUACCGGAUAAUAUAUUGAACCGCAUGGUUCAAUAGUGAAAGACGGUUUUGCUGUCACUUAUAGAUGGAUCCGCGCCGCAUUAGCUAGUUGGUAAGGUAACGGCUUACCAAGGCAACGAUGCGUAGCCGACCUGAGAGGGUGAUCGGCCACACGGGAACUGAGACACGGUCCAGACUCCGACGGGAGGCAGCAGUAGGGAAUCUUCCGCAAUGGGCGAAAGCCUGACGGAGCAACGCCGCGUGAGUGAUGAAGGUCUUCGGAUCGUAAAACUCUGUUAUUAGGGAAGAACAAAUGUGUAAGUAACUAUGCACGUCUUGACGGUACCUAAGCAGAAAGCCACGGCUAACUACGU